AAGAUGAUACUUUCAAGGAUCAUUUCUAUCAUUUGUUACUAGAAAAGUUUCUCUGAAUGUGUAGAACACCAAAAAGUAUUAAACAAAAAUUUUAAAAACCCACAAAGCACAAAACGGACUCAGCUUGACAGUCAUAGCUUUCCUCAGAGGCUCCUUUGCCACCCAUGGCACAGGUGCAGCCUUGAAUGCUCUGUGAUGUGGGGGCCGGUGCU
rnacentral:lncRNA from 10 species